UUCCUUCAUUCACUUGCUCUGCGCUGCAUUGUAUCAAAAACUCUCUGACCAUCCCGAAGCCAAAAAAAAGCUUCAGCGAUCUUCAUCUUUUGGUUUUCAUAUCUCAAGUGAGAGAGAUGGGUUUCAUAAUGGAGUUUGCGGAGAAUUUGGUGCUAAGGUUAAUGGAGAAUCCGGAGGAUAGAGACAGGAAAGCAAGGGAACACAUAUAUGAGAUGCAUGAGAGGUGCAAGAAGAUUAAGGAGAUGUGGGCGUUGCCUAUUCGUCCUUAUGGAUUCUGGACAUUUGAGCGUCACAAUGCUCAGCUACGUUGGGAUCCUCAGAUCAGUCAGGUUGCUGGUCGAAGGGAUCCUUAUGAUGAUCUCCUUCAGGACAACUACACUCCUCCUUCUUCAUCUUCAGACUAAUCAAACAAUGGCACAACUAGAAUUAGCUGCUGUGUGAGAAGUUGAAACUCAGUUUUCGACCUGUUUGUUUUGUCUGGUGCAGGAAGAUGCGUUAUGCUCUCUGGAUUGAUGGAUGCAUAUGUCUGUUUUCAAGCUAUUUUUCAGUAUUGUACUUCCUUUGUUUCCAUUUGUUCAUCAGGGAGCUUGGUACAAACUCAAAUAAUAUAGCUCAAAGACUCGUUUACGAAUGGGAGAGAAUACUUGUUGGCUUUUUUAGUAAAGUUCUUUUGAUUGUCCAUCUUUGGUAUGAAAUAUUAAGUUCUGCUAUAUGACCAUUA